CGUUGGUGAACCAGCGGAGGGAUCAUUACCGAGUUUACAACUCCCAAACCCAAUGUGAACGUUACCAAACUGUUGCCUCGGCGGGAUCUCUGCCCCGGGUGCGUCGCAGCCCCGGACCAAGGCGCCCGCCGGAGGACCAACCAAAACUCUUUUUGUAUACCCCCUCGCGGGUUUUUUAUAAUCUGAGCCUUCUCGGCGCCUCUCGUAGGCGUUUCGAAAAUGAAUCAAAACUUUCAACAACGGAUCUCUUGGUUCUGGCAUCGAUGAAGAACGCAGCGAAAUGCGAUAAGUAAUGUGAAUUGCAGAAUUCAGUGAAUCAUCGAAUCUUUGAACGCACAUUGCGCCCGCCAGUAUUCUGGCGGGCAUGCCUGUCCGAGCGUCAUUUCAACCCUCGAACCCCUCCGGGGGGUCGGCGUUGGGGAUCGGCCCUCCCUUAGCGGGUGGCCGUCUCCGAAAUACAGUGGCGGUCUCGCCGCAGCCUCUCCUGCGCAGUAGUUUGCACACUCGCAUCGGGAGCGCGGCGCGUCCACAGCCGUUAAACACCCAACUUCUGAAAUGUUGACCUCGGAUCAGGUAGGAAUACCCGCGAACCCCUCCGGGGGGUCGGCGUUGGG
rnacentral:rRNA from 1 species